AUACAACAGUUUCACCAUUACCGUAUUGGCCCUAUUAUAAGGCGACGUUUUUUGAUUGAUAAUUAGGUUGUAAAAUUCAUAGUCACCUUAUAAUCACGG